rnacentral:rRNA from 1 species
UAAGUUAUUAAGGGCGCACGGUGGAUGCCUUGGCACUAGAAGCCGAUGAAGGACGUUACUAACGACGAUAUGCUUUGGGGAGCUGUAAGUAAGCUUUGAUCCAGAGAUUUCCGAAUGGGGGAAACCCAGCAUGAGUUAUGUCAUGUUAUCGAUAUGUGAAUACAUAGCAUAUCAGAAGGCACACCCGGAGAACUGAAACAUCUUAGUACCCGGAGGAAGAGAAAGAAAAUUCGAUUCCCUUAGUAGCGGCGAGCGAAACGGGAAGAGCCCAAACCAACAAGCUUGCUUGUUGGGGUUGUAGGACACUCUAUACGGAGUUACAAAGGACGACAUUAGACGAAUCAUCUGGAAAGAUGAAUCAAAGAAGGUAAUAAUCCUGUAGUCGAAAAUGUUGUCUCUCUUGAGUGGAUCCUGAGUACGACGGAGCACGUGAAAUUCCGUCGGAAUCUGGGAGGACCAUCUCCUAAGGCUAAAUACUCUCUAGUGACCGAUAGUGAACCAGUACCGUGAGGGAAAGGUGAAAAGCACCCCGGAAGGGGAGUGAAAUAGAACCUGAAACCGUGUGCUUACAAGUAGUCAGAGCCCGUUAAUGGGUGAUGGCGUGCCUUUUGUAGAAUGAACCGGCGAGUUACGAUUUGAUGCAAGGUUAAGCAGUAAAUGUGGAGCCGUAGCGAAAGCGAGUCUGAAUAGGGCGUUUAGUAUUUGGUCGUAGACCCGAAACCAGGUGAUCUACCCCUUGGUCAGGUUGAAGUUCAGGUAACACUGAAUGGAGGACCGAACCGACUUACGUUGAAAAGUGAGCGGAUGAACUGAGGGUAGCGGAGAAAUUCCAAUCGAACCUGGAGAUAGCUGGUUCUCUCCGAAAUAGCUUUAGGGCUAGCCUCAAGUGAUGAUUAUUGGAGGUAGAGCACUGUUUGGACGAGGGGCCCCUCUCUGGUUACCGAAUUCAGACAAACUCCGAAUGCCAAUUAAUUUAACUUGGGAGUCAGAACAUGGUGAUAAGGUCCGUGUUCGAAAGGGAACAGCCCAGACCACCAGCUAAGGUCCCAAAAUAUAUGUUAAGUGGAAAAGGAUGUGGCGUUGCCCAGACAACUAGGAUGUUGGCUUAGAAGCAGCCAUCAUUUAAAGAGUGCGUAAUAGCUCACUAGUCGAGUGACACUGCGCCGAAAAUGUACCGGGGCUAAACAUAUUACCGAAGCUGUGGAUUGUCCUUUGGACAAUGGUAGGAGAGCGUUCUAAGGGCGUUGAAGCAUGAUCGUAAGGACAUGUGGAGCGCUUAGAAGUGAGAAUGCCGGUGUGAGUAGCGAAAGACGGGUGAGAAUCCCGUCCACCGAUUGACUAAGGUUUCCAGAGGAAGGCUCGUCCGCUCUGGGUUAGUCGGGUCCUAAGCUGAGGCCGACAGGCGUAGGCGAUGGAUAACAGGUUGAUAUUCCUGUACCACCUAUAAUCGUUUUAAUCGAUGGGGGGGACGCAGUAGGAUAGGCGAAGCGUGCGAUUGGAUUGCACGUCUAAGCAGUAAGGCUGAGUAUUAGGCAAAUCCGGUACUCAUUAAGGCUGAGCUGUGAUGGGGAGAAGACAUUGUGUCUUCGAGUCGUUUGAUUUCACACUGCCGAGAAAAGCCUCUAGAUAGAAAAUAGGUGCCCGUACCGCAAACCGACACAGGUAGUCAAGAUGAGAAUUCUAAGGUGAGCGAGCGAACUCUCGUUAAGGAACUCGGCAAAAUGACCCCGUAACUUCGGGAGAAGGGGUGCUCUUUAGGGUUAACGCCCAGAAGAGCCGCAGUGAAUAGGCCCAAGCGACUGUUUAUCAAAAACACAGGUCUCUGCUAAACCGUAAGGUGAUGUAUAGGGGCUGACGCCUGCCCGGUGCUGGAAGGUUAAGAGGAGUGGUUAGCUUCUGCGAAGCUACGAAUCGAAGCCCCAGUAAACGGCGGCCGUAACUAUAACGGUCCUAAGGUAGCGAAAUUCCUUGUCGGGUAAGUUCCGACCCGCACGAAAGGCGUAACGAUUUGGGCACUGUCUCAACGAGAGACUCGGUGAAAUCAUAGUACCUGUGAAGAUGCAGGUUACCCGCGACAGGACGGAAAGACCCCGUGGAGCUUUACUGUAGCCUGAUAUUGAAAUUCGGCACAGCUUGUACAGGAUAGGUAGGAGCCUUUGAAACGUGAGCGCUAGCUUACGUGGAGGCGCUGGUGGGAUACUACCCUAGCUGUGUUGGCUUUCUAACCCCGCACCACUUAUCGUGGUGGGAGACAGUGUCAGGCGGGCAGUUUGACUGGGGCGGUCGCCUCCUAAAAGGUAACGGAGGCGCUCAAAGGUUCCCUCAGAAUGGUUGGAAAUCAUUCAUAGAGUGUAAAGGCAUAAGGGAGCUUGACUGCGAGACCUACAAGUCGAGCAGGGUCGAAAGACGGACUUAGUGAUCCGGUGGUUCCGCAUGGAAGGGCCAUCGCUCAACGGAUAAAAGCUACCCCGGGGAUAACAGGCUUAUCUCCCCCCAAGAGUUCACAUCGACGGGGAGGUUUGGCACCUCGAUGUCGGCUCAUCGCAUCCUGGGGCUGUAGUCGGUCCCAAGGGUUGGGCUGUUCGCCCAUUAAAGCGGUACGCGAGCUGGGUUCAGAACGUCGUGAGACAGUUCGGUCCCUAUCCGUCGUGGGCGUAGGAAAUUUGAGAGGAGCUGUCCUUAGUACGAGAGGACCGGGAUGGACAUACCUCUGGUGUACCAGUUGUCGUGCCAACGGCAUAGCUGGGUAGCUAUGUGUGGACGGGAUAAGUGCUGAAAGCAUCUAAGCAUGAAGCCCCCCUCAAGAUGAGAUUUCCCAACUUCGGUUAUAAGAUCCCUCAAAGAUGAUGAGGUUAAUAGGUUCGAGGUGGAAGCAUGGUGACAUGUGGAGCUGACGAAUACUAAUCGAUCGAAGACUUAAUCA